UACGUAGGGGGCAAGCGUUGUCCGGAUUCAUUGGGCGUAAAGAGCGUGUAGGCGGCCAGGUAGGUCGGUUGUGAAAACUGGAGGCUCAACCUUCAGAGGUCGACCGAAACCAUCUGGCUAGAGUCCGGGAGAGGAGAGUGGAAUUCCUGGUGUAGCGGUGAAAUGCGCAGAUAUCAGGAAGACCACCAGUGGCGAAGGCGGCUUGCCAGAACGCGCUCGACGGUGAGGGAUGAAAGCUGGGGGAGCAAACCGG
rnacentral:rRNA from 1 species